GACGAACGCUGGCGGCGUGCUUAACACAUGCAAGUCGAGCGGUAAGGCCCUUUCGGGGUACGACGAGCGGCGAACGGGUGAGUAACACGUGGGUGACCUGCCCUCAGCUCUGGGAUAAGCCUGGGAAACCGGGUCUAAUACUGGAUAUGACUCCAUGACGCAUGUUGUGGGGUGGAAAGCCUUGUGCGGCUGAGGAUGGGCCCGCGGCCUAUCAGCUUGUUGGUGGGGUGAGGCCUACCAAGGCGACGACGGGUAGCCGGCCUGAGAGGGCGACCGGCCACACUGGGACUGAGACACGGCCCAGACUCCUACGGGAGGCAGCAGUGGGGAAGUUUUCCGCAAUGGGCGAAAGCCUGACGGAGUGACGCCGCGUGU
rnacentral:rRNA from 1 species